rnacentral:rRNA from 1 species
GAGGAAUAUUGGUCAAUGGACGCAAGUCUGAACCAGCCAAGUAGCGUGCAGGAUGACGGCCCUAUGGGUUGUAAACUGCUUUUAUGUGGGAAUAAAGUGGCGCACGUGUGCGCCAUUGCAUGUACCUCAUGAAUAAGGACCGGCUAAUUCCGUGCCAGCAGCCGCGGUAAUACGGAAGGUCCAGGCGUUAUCCGGAUUUAUUGGGUUUAAAGGGAGCGUAGGCGGAUUAUUAAGUCAGUGGUGAAAGACGGUGGCUCAACCAUCGUUAGCCAUUGAAACUGGUAGUCUUGAGUGCAGACAGGGAUGCUGGAACUCGUGGUGUAGCGGUGAAAUGCUUAGAUAUCACGAUGAACUCCGAUCGCGAAGGCAGGUGUCCGGGCUGCAACUGACGCUGAGGCUCGAAAGUGUGGGUAUCAAACAGGAUUAGAUACCCUGGUAGUCCACACAGUAAACGAUGUAUACUCGCGGUUUGCGAUAGACAGUAAGCCGCCAAGCGAAAGCAUUAAGUAUACCACCUGGGGAGUACGCCGGCAACGGUG